CUCCUCCCUAGAUUCUUCCCCCGGCACGAGCCUUCCUCGGAACCCCGACACGCCUCACUGGAUCCCGCCGCCCCUCCACACCUCGGCCACCUCACCUUCACAGGGCCCGCCCCGUCCUCGGAUCGGGCCAUCGCGCCGCCCCCUCCCCUGGUUCCGGCCGGUGCGCCGCCUCGCCUCUGCUCCGGCACGACCUUCCACCCCGUCCGGCAUGGCCUUCCCUCCCCUCCGACGCGGACUGCCCUCUGCUCCGGCGCGCCCUCCUCCUCCACAGCCCCAUCCCCAUCCUCCCUCGAACAUCUUCCUCCCGCCUACUGCCACAUGUCCAGCAACCAAAAUGGCGGCGACCGAGCCAUCUCCUCUAGAUGCUCUGCGUGUAGCCGCCGGCUUCUCGCACGCCAUCGACCCCUGCCAUCCCUGUAUGUGCCUUCUUCCUCCUGUGCACGACGGACUUCCUCCCCCGCAGGUUGUGACCUUCUUACUCCAGUGCGGCUGCUAGCCAGCGCUUGCGUUCUCGCCGACCCAUUGUCCGCUGCCGCUUCAGACCCCUUUGGCACAGUUGCUUGAUAGCCAUGUGCAAUUGCUUCAGUUUUUUUACAUGUGCUACUACAUGUCUACUGGUUACUUCCUC